rnacentral:rRNA from 1 species
CAGUCGCCGCGGUAAGGCAGAGGAUGCAAGCGUUAUCCGGAAUGAUUGGGCGUAAAGGGAGCGCAGGCGGACAUAUAAGUCCAUCUUAAAAGUGCGGGGCUCAACCCCGUGAGGGGAUGGAAACUGUAUGCCUUGAGUGCAGGAGAGGAAAGUGGAAUUCCCAGUGUAGCGGUGAAAUGCGUAGAUAUUGGGAGGAACACCAGUGGCGAAGGCGGCUUUCUGGACUGCAACUGACGCCGAGGCUCGAAAGCCAGGGGAGCGAACGGGAUUAGAUACCCCAGUAGUCCCUGUCUCUUAUACC